rnacentral:misc_RNA from 1 species
UACAGAGGGUGCAAGCGUUGUUCGGAAUCAUUGGGCGUAAAGCGCGCGUAGGCGGUCGGCUAAGUCUCACCGUUCAAGCCCGGGGCUCAACCCCGGUCCGCGGGAGAUACUGGCUGGCUAGGGACAUGUAGAGGCGAGUGGAAUGUCGGGUGUAGCGGUGGAAUGCGUAGAGAUCCGACAGAACACCAGAGGCGAAGGCGACUCGCUGGGCAUGAUCCGACGCUGAGGUGCGAAAGCGUGGGGAGCAAACAGG